rnacentral:misc_RNA from 1 species
GAUGAAGAACGUAGCGAAAUGCGAUACUUGGUGUGAAUUGCAGAAUCCCGUGAACCAUCGAGUCUUUGAACGCAAGUUGCGCCCGAAGCCACUAGGCCGAGGGCACGCCUGCCUGGGCGUCACACAUCGUUGCCCCCCCCCCAUCUACUCCUUCGGGAUUGCGGGGGGCGGAUGAUGGCCUCCCGUGCGCCUAGCCGCGCGGUUGGCAUAAAUACCAAGUCCUCGGCGACGCACGCCACGACAAUCGGUGGUUGCGAAACCUCGGUUGCCCGUCGUGUGCGUUCGUCGCGCAUCGAGGGCUCGAAAAAAUGCUCGGCUCCGGCUCGGCUUUCAACGCGACCCCAGGUCAGGCGGGGUUACCCGCUGAAUUUAAGCAUAUCAAUAAGCGGAGGA